CCUACGGGAGGCAGCAGUGAGGAAUAUUGGUCAAUGGGCUUACGCCUGAACCAGCCAAGUCGCGUGAGGGAAGACUGCCCUAUGGGUUGUAAACCUCUUUUGUCAGGGAGCAAUUGGCGCUACGUGUAGCGUUAUCGAGAGUACCUGAAGAAAAAGCAUCGGCUAACUCCGUGCCAGCAGCCGCGGUAAUACGGAGGAUGCGAGCGUUAUCCGGAUUUAUUGGGUUUAAAGGGUGCGUUGGCGGAAUGCCAAGUCAGCGGUAAAAUCGCGGGGCUCAACCUCGCUCCGCCGUUGAAACUGGCGUUCUUGAGUGGGCGAGAAGUAUGCGGAAUGCGUGGUGUAGCGGUGAAAUGCAUAGAUAUCACGAAGAACUCCGAUUGCGAAGGCAGCAUACCGGCGCCCAACUGACGCUGAAGCACGAAAGCGUGGGUAGCGAACAGGAUUAGAUACCCGGGUAGUC
rnacentral:rRNA from 1 species